GUGUAUUACGAAAACACACUCAGGACAUAACAUCUAAAUCCCUCUCCCUUCUACCAUUGGUCAAUCUAAAGAAAUGUUCCAUCAAAUGUUAGAGAAUAGGAAACAUGCUUAAGAAAAGUAUGUAAAGUUCAGAAUAGUGUACCUAUUGAAGCUAAUUCAAGGGACCUAGAAUUUCCAAAAUGGACCAUCAGAUAGUACUUCCAUAAUUAUAUCUCACAAUAUAAUCUGAGUUGAAAAUUGGAAGGGAAAUAGAUUUACAUCUUCAUGGAUAUACAUGAUUAGCCGAUUUCUCAAGUAAUGGACAUGUCCAAAAAAUACACAAUGUCCAGAACACAACUGGUAGUUUUAACUUGAUACAUUAUACGAUCGAUGUGAAUAAAGGAGAAGACUGUGCACAACAUAUGGAAAUAUUAGGAGUUUGCUAUUCAACCAUGAUGUGAUGAGCAUGCUUGGUCACCAGUAGUUUUUCUGGGCAUGUAAAAUGGGUAACCAAAACUCUAACGACUCCAUUCACCAUUGGCAUACAGGAAAGACACGGAGAUGGAAAGGGCUGACCAAAACUGUAGUGACGCCAUUCAUCAUUGGCCUACAGGAAGGAUUUUGAGAGCUCACCGAGGACUGCUUUUCAUGCCAGAAUUAUAUUACUGAAAAGGCAAGAGAAAUAACUUCCAUCUAUUAGCAACAAAUCCGAUACAUCAACUAUAAACUAAGAACCAGUACCUUUGUAGGCGAAACCGCAAAAAAACAAUAGCAACUAAUUAUGACAGCAAAUGAGAUGAAGAUAGAAAUAUUAGCUGCCGAAUUCAACUGCAAGGUCCAUGGAAAUCAAAUUCAUGUUCAGAUACAAAAGUGUAUGUAAUGUAAUUAAGUUUACAUAAUAGCUAGCCCAUAUAUAUGACUGAAGGUAGAAAAUGAAGUGAGCAAACAUAUCUGAACCGAGAAAAGCAUGUGCAAAGGCUAUGGCAACCUACAGGCUUACCAUGAAUCAUCGUGAAGAAGAAUGAUGUCACAAAUUUCAUCGACACUUUUGACUAAUCAUCAGUUAAUGUUGAUUUGGGAUACCUCCCAGGCAGUAUCACUCCACAACUCAGGAAUAUGCCCGUGAGGAUACCUAACCUCGAUGACGCCGUGCAGAUAGACAGCAGUGUCAGGGAGGAGAGUUGGCUCUGUCGAGAUGUGGAGGCUGUAGCUUGAAACAUAGACCUCGAUCAGGAGGCUCGACUCCACGACACGCAGAUGGACAGAAGCACAAAUAGCAUGUGGCGAGGAUCAAGGAAGAGAAGAAAGGGGGCAGAGGAGAUGACGGGGAGGGGAGAAGAUUAAAUAGAGGCACGACAUCUUGCACUGGAUGGGAAGGGAGGGGAAAAGGCGAUACUGAGCACAGAAAGAAUGGGGAAAAAUUAAUUGCAAGAGGGAGAGCAACUCCA
rnacentral:lncRNA from 1 species